AUCAGAUUCCGUAGCCCUGUACAAUGGGUGGACUAACAGGCAUGUAAUUGUAACCAGACAACUGGACGUACAGGAACAGAGAGGUGGAGGGCCCUGCUCAAUGAGCUUACAUUCUAGAGGGAGUAGGGUAUAGUGACACAAAGGGUAAAAGUAGGGGUACGAAGUAGGUUGUUAGAAAAGUAUUCACUAAGGGCUUAGUAGGUAGUUUUGACAGUUGCAAACAGUGUAUUGCAUUUAAAGAGGACUAGUUGCUUGUGCAGUUAAUAUAGGCGAGUUGUUCUGCUUGAUGAGGCGUGUUUUGGAAAAGGAAACUUGGAUUACAGAGUACACUUAAAUGUGGAGUGACACUGUACUACUGCGAUUCCUAGAAUACAAAAAUAGCAUAAACAACAUGAAAUUGGGACAGUAAUGAAUAAUGUGUUUAACAUGAGGAAAUCGUCAUUCUCAGAACACAAUGUUCCUAUUUUUAUGGCACAGGUUGUACUUUCAGAUAAACUUCUUCCUCAACAAAGAAAUCUGGCAGUAGGUUCAAAAUAUAAUCUGCUGAUUUACGCCACAAGAUGCCUCAUGUUAAUAAAUAUUUAAGCUGGGUUUCAAGCACUAAAAUAGCAGGAGUAAUCCAGAACCCGUUUGUCUAUCUCGCAACAGGCUCAACAAUCUGUACCUUGUUACAUUAUAACUGUGCAUUCUAGCUCAAUCACUCGGAAAAUUCUGACAUUUUCUGGUGUCUAUGUUUUUAUUGUUCUCAUGGUUGUUUUUAAGAUAAGGAUGUUUUUCUCUCCUACUUCAAGUGAUGUCAUGUCUGAUGUCGACCCUGAAGGGGCGUGUGGGAAAAUGGUUACUGCUGACUCUGAAAAGUUGAAUAAAUAACUGAGAAAUAAAUACAUUCCCAGUGUUAUUUGAUGGAUAGGUACUUGAAAUCUGAUACACAGUCAAACUGUUAUGUUUUUGAAUAAACAAAAAAAAUCUUCUCCUAAAUUUGUUUACAUGUGUUGGCUGUCUAGUGGUGCAUUUUGUGACUUUUUAAGUAAUUAGAACCUUUUUUACAAAAAAAAUGGGUUUUCCACAGCACCUGCAAUCAACAUGAUUGGGUUACCAGUGCUCUCUUUUGGGCAAAAUGAAGAUUAAUAAUGUGGACAUGUAAAGGCCCUAGAUAAUUGAGAUAGUGAGACAUUAGGCAGAGCUCCAAUAUGAGGCCCAAUAUUCAUUUUUUGGUUUGAAGGACAGACUACUCUAAAAAUAAAACAUUUAAUCACACAAUCGGCAAGUCCACAUCUGAGGUAAAGCUUUUUUUCCAAGUUUUAAAACGAAGCACAGGCAAUCUAGAACAGGAGGGAAGACAGACAGAAAAUGCAUAAAAAAACCUAACAUGGACUUAUUUAGUAGUUGGC